GAUGAACGCUGGCGGUAUGCCUAACACAUGCAAGUCGUACGAGAGUUUUUAACUCUAGUGGCGGACGGUGAGUAACACGUGAGAAUUUGCCUUUAGGAGGGGGAUAACAAUUGGAAACGAAUGCUAAUACCCCAUAUGCUUUUGAGUGAAAUGGAUUUUAUCCGCCUAGAGAGAAGCUCGCGGCUGAUUAGCUUGUUGGUAAGGUAAGAGCUUACCAAGGCGACGAUCAGUAUCUGGUUUGAGAGGACGAUCAGACACACUGGAACUGAGACACGGUCCAGACUCCUACGGGAGGCAGCAGUGGGGAAUUUUCCGCAAUGGGCGAAAGCCUGACGGAGCAAUACCGCGUGAGGGAAGAAUGCCUAUGGGUUGUAAACCUCUUUUUCAGGGAGGAAUAAAAUGACGUGUACCUGAAGAAUAAGCAUCGGCUAACUCCGUG
rnacentral:rRNA from 1 species